rnacentral:tRNA from 1 species
GUGGCUGUGGCUCAGUGGUAGAGCACUUGCCUAGCGUGUGUGAGGUCCUGGGUUCAAUUCUCAGCACCACA